rnacentral:rRNA from 1 species
CCCUUAGAUGUCCUGGGCCGCACGCGCGCUACACUGACGGAGCCAGCGAGCUUACCCCUUUGCCGAAAGGCAUGGGAAAUCUUUUGAAUCUCCGUCGUGCUGGGGAUAGAUCAUUGCAAUUAUUGAUCUUGAACGAGGAAUUCCUAGUAAGCGCAAGUCAUCAACUUGCGUUGAUUACGUCCCUGCCCUUUGUACACACCGCCCGUCGCACCUACCGAUUGAACGUUCCGGUGAGACCUUGGGAUUUGGUCUUUGGUACUUUAUUGUGCCGUUGACCGAAAAACUUGAGCAAACCUUAACGUUUAGAGGAAGGUGAAGUCGUAACA